rnacentral:tRNA from 1 species
AGCCCAGGCACACCUCCGUGUGCUUCUCUAGAUUUGCACUCUAGCGUGAACCACCACAGGGCUUG